rnacentral:rRNA from 1 species
GACGUAGGGCGCGAGCGUUGUCCGGAUUUAUUGGGCGUAAAGAGCUCGUAGGCGGUCUGUCGCGUCGGAUGUGAAAACCCGGGGCUUAACCCCGGGCCUGCAUUCGAUACGGGCAGACUCGAGUGUGGUAGGGGAGACUGGAACUCCUGGUGUAGCGGUGAAAUGCGUAGAUAUCGAGAGGAACACCUGCGGCGAAGGCGGGUAGCUGGGCCGACACUGACGCUGAGGCACGAAAGCUAGGGGAGCAAACAGG